GACGAACGCUGGCGGCGUGCUUAACACAUGCAAGUCGAACGGGACUCCUUUGGGUGGUCAGUGGCCAACGGCUGCGGAACACUUGGGGACCUAUCCUUCAGUGGGCGACAACACCGCGAAAGCGGUGCGAAUCUCGCAUACGCACUGCGGAGGAAAUCGUGCCAACACGCGCUGAAGACUGGGUCUCCGCCCGAUCAGGUAGUGGGGGGGGUAAUGGCCCACCAAGGGCGUGACGGGUGGCUGGUCUGUGAGGCCGACCAGCCAGACUGGGACUGAGAUACGGCCCAGACUCCUACGGGAGGCAGCAGCAAGGAAUAUUCGGCAAUGGGCGCAAGCCUGACCGAGCAACGCCGCGUGAGGGAUGACGGCGUUCGGGAUGUAAACUGCUUUUGGAGGGGAAGAAACUGACGGUACCCGCCGAAGAAGCCCCGGCUAACUCCGUG
rnacentral:rRNA from 1 species